rnacentral:ncRNA from 1 species
AAACUCUGGAGAGUCUCAGUAGAUGAGCGCCGAAGGUGUAACGCAGUAGAACGCGGCGGGGAAUCCCAUAGCGUUUCUGUCUAUCUCUCAGGCAAAAGGACAGGGCUGAA